AGAGUUUGAUCAUGGCUCAGAUUGAACGCUGGCGGCGUGCCUAACACAUGCAAGUCGAGCGGUAACAGGUGUAGCAAUACAUGCUGACGAGCGGCGAACGGGUGAGUAAUGCUUCGGAAUCUACCUUAUGGUGGGGAAUAACUAGCCGAAAGGUUAGCUAAUACCGCAUACGUCCUACGGGAGAAAGCAGGGGAUCGCAAGACCUUGCGCCAAAAGAUGAGCCGAAGUCGGAUUAGCUAGUUGGUAGGGUAACGGCCUACCAAGGCGACGAUCCGUAGCUGGUCUGAGAGGACGACCAGCCACACUGGGACUGAGACACGGCCCAGACUCCUACGGGAGGCAGCAGUGGGGAAUAUUGGACAAUGGGGGAAACCCUGAUCCAGCGACGCCGCGUGUGUGAAGAAGGCCUGCGGGUUGUAAAGCACUUUUAGUGGGGAUGAAAUGUGCAGGGCUAACACCUCUGCAUUUUGACCUAACCCACAGAAAAAGCACCGGCUAACUCUGUGCCAGCAGCCGCGGUAAUAC
rnacentral:rRNA from 1 species